rnacentral:rRNA from 1 species
UACGAAGGGGGCUAGCGUUGCUCGGAAUCACUGGGCGUAAAGCGCACGUAGGCGGAUCUUUAAGUCAGGGGUGAAAUCCCAAGGCUCAACCCUGGAAUGCCGGUGGAUACUGCGGGGCUAGAGUCCGGAAGGGGCGAGUGGAAUUCCUGGUGUAGCGGUGAAAUGCGCAGAUAUCAGGAGGAACACCAAUGGCGAAGGCAGCUCGCUGGGACGUGACUGACGCUGAGACGCGAAAGCGUGGGGAGCAAACAGG